GCGCUCUUAGUUCAGUUCGGUAGAACGUGGGUCUCCAAAACCCGAGGUCGUCCUGAUCUUGAGCGCA
rnacentral:tRNA from 1 species